UUCGCAAUGCCCGAAAGGGUGACGAAGCGACGCCGCGUGCGGGAAGAAGGCCUUCGGGUUGUAAACCGCUGUCGGGAGCUAGGAAAUGUAAGGGUGCUAAUAGUAUCCUUACUUGACUAAGGCUCCGGAGGAAGCCACGGCUAACUCUGUGCCAGCAGCCGCGGUAAUACAGAGGCGGCAAGCGUUGUUCGGAAUUAUUGGGCGUAAAGAGCACGUAGGCGGCUGUGUAAGUCGGUUGUGGAAGCCUUCCGCUCAACGGGAGAACAGCAUCCGAUACUGUGUGGCUUGAGUGUGGGAGGGGAGAGCGGAACUUCUGGUGGAGCGGUGAAAUGCGUAGAUAUCAGAAGGAACGCCGGCGGCGAAAGCGGCUCUCUGGCCCAUAACUGACGCUGAGUGUGCGAAAGCUAGGGGAGCAAACGGGAUUAGAUACCCCGGUAGUCCUAGCCGUAAAC
rnacentral:rRNA from 1 species